rnacentral:rRNA from 1 species
GACGAACGCUGGCGGCGUGCUUAACACAUGCAAGUCGAACGGAAAGGCCCUGCUUUUGUGGGGUGCUCGAGUGGCGAACGGGUGAGUAACACGUGAGUAACCUGCCCUUGACUUUGGGAUAACUUCAGGAAACUGGGGCUAAUACCGGAUAGGAGCUCCUGCUGCAUGGUGGGGGUUGGAAAGUUUCGGCGGUUGGGGAUGGACUCGCGGCUUAUCAGCUUGUUGGUGGGGUAGUGGCUUACCAAGGCUUUGACGGGUAGCCGGCCUGAGAGGGUGACCGGCCACAUUAGGACUGAGAUACGGACCAGACUGCUACGGGAGGCAGCAGUGGGGAAUAUUGCACAAUGGGCGGAAGCCUGAUGCAGCAACGCCGGGUGCGGGAUGACGGCCUGCGGGUUGUAAAACGCUUUCGCCUGUGACGAAGCGUGAGUGACGGUAAUGGGUAAAGAAGCACCGGCUAACUACGUG